rnacentral:rRNA from 1 species
UACGGAGGGUGCAAGCGUUGUUCGGAUUUAUUGGGCGUAAAGCGCGUGUAGGCGGUUUCUUAAGUCUGAUGUGAAAGCCCUGGGCUCAACCCAGGAAGUGCAUUGGAUACUGGGAGACUUGAAUACGGGAGAGGGUAGUGGAAUUCCUAGUGUAGGAGUGAAAUCCGUAGAUAUUAGGAGGAACACCGGUGGCGAAGGCGGCUACCUGGACCGAUAUUGACGCUGAGACGCGAAAGCGUGGGGAGCGAACGGG